rnacentral:rRNA from 1 species
CAGUCGCCGCGGUAAUACGUAGGGUGCAAGCGUUAAUCGGAAUUACUGGGCGUAAAGCGUGCGCAGGCGGUUCUAUAAGACAGAUGUGAAAUCCCCGGGCUCAACCUGGGAACUGCAUUUGUGACUGUAGAGCUGGAGUGCGGCAGAGGGGGAUGGAAUUCCGCGUGUGGCAGUGAAAUGCGUAGAUAUGCGGAGGAACACCGAUGGCGGAGGCAAUCCCCUGGGCCUGCACUGACGCUCAUGCACGAAAGCGUGGGGAGCAAACAGGAUUAGAUACCCUAGUAGUCCCUGUCUUUAUACA